rnacentral:rRNA from 1 species
AACCGACUAAUGUUGAAAAAUUAGCGGAUGACCUGUGGCUGGGGGUGAAAGGCCAAUCAAACCGGGAGAUAGCUGGUUCUCCCCGAAAGCUAUUUAGGUAGCGCCUCGUGAAUUCAUCUCCGGGGGUAGAGCACUGUUUCGGCUAGGGGGCCAUCCCGGCUUACCAACCCGAUGCAAACUGCGAAUACCGGAGAAUGUUAUCACGGGAGACACACGGCGGGUGCUAACGUCCGUCGUGAAGAGGGAAACAACCCAGACCGCCAGCUAAGGUCCCAAAGUCAUGGUUAAGUGGGAAACGAUGUGGGAAGGCCCAGACAGCCAGGAUGUUGGCUUAGAAGCAGCCAUCAUUUAAAGAAAGCGUAAUAGCUCACUGGUCGAGUCGGCCUGCGCGGAAGAUGUAACGGGGCUAAACCAUGCACCGAAGCUGCGGCAGCGAACGUAUCACUUAAAGCGAUUCAGCGGGUUACGAUUGACGGAGCGAAGCGACGUCAAAGCGUAUACAAAGUCGAGUCGGUUUAAGGAUACGUUCGUUGGGUAGGGGAGCGUUCUGUAAGCCUGUGAAGGUGGCCUGUGAGGGUUGCUGGAGGUAUCAGAAGUGCGAAUGCUGACAUAAGUAACGAUAAAGCGGGUGAAAAGCCCGCUCGCCGGAAGACCAAGGGUUCCUGUCCAACGUUAAUCGGGGCAGGGUGAGUCGACCCCUAAGGCGAGGCCGAAAGGCGUAGUCGAUGGGAAACGGGUUAAUAUUCCCGUACUUGGUGUUACUGCGAAGGGGGGACGGAGAAGGCUAUGUUGGCCGGGCGACGGUUGUCCCGGUUUAAGCGUGUAGGUGUGUGUUCCAGGUAAAUCCGGUUCACUUUAACACUGAGGCGUGAUGACGAGGCACUACGGUGCUGAAGCAACAAAUGCCCUGCUUCCAGGAAAAGCCUCUAAGCAUCAGGUAACAUCAAAUCGUACCCCAAACCGACACAGGUGGUCAGGUAGAGAAUACCAAGGCGCUUGAGAGAACUCGGGUGAAGGAACUAGGCAAAAUGGUGCCGUAACUUCGGGAGAAGGCACGCUGACAC